AAGUUCUUGAGAAGGUAAGUAACAUGAUGAAAGGACUCAAAGCAAGUACUAUCUGAUAAAUAUUUGAGGUAUGAAUGAAUUAAUCAGCAGUCUCAGGCUGGACGAAGAGAGAAGUUUCACCAAAAAUCAAAGACCUCCCAUGUACCAGAUAUGGCCCUGUGGAUUCAAUGAUGCACAAAAACAUACUCUUUGUUCUCCAGAGCUCUAGUGGGUGAGUCAGACAUUGACGAAAUAAUCACAUAAAUAAAUGUAAAAUUAUAAAAGUAGUUAGUCCAACCAAGCAGGUGUUCCUGAUGCUAUGAGCACAUGUAGUUUAGGAGGCAAGGCAAGGCAAGGCUGUUCUGAGGAAGUAACAUCUGAGUUGAUAUUGGAAGGAUGAGAAGGAGUUGAAUAGGAGAAAAGAAAAGAGAAAAGCAUUUCAGACAGAGCAAGCAACAUGCCCGAAGCCCUGUGGCUUCCAGAGGAGGCCUGGAGAGUCCCAGGAGUAGAAAGAUCCUUAGGAAGGUCGUUGUGGCUGGGUCUCAGGGCGUGCAGAGAACGUAAUAGGAGGAUGGGAGGUCAACAGAGGCCAGGCUAUGCCAGAGCCCACCAGGCUUUAGGAAGAUUUGGGGCCUUUAUCCUAGAAGAAUGGGGAGCCAUUGACAGAGCUGUGACAUGAUUGGAGAUUUGGGGCCUUUAUCAUAGAAGAGUGGGGAGCCAUUGACAGAGCUGUGACAUGAUCGGAGAUUUGGGGCCUUUAUCCUAGAAGAGUGGGGAGCCAUUGACAGAGCUGUGACAUGAUCAGAUCAGUGUUUUUUUAAAAAAAGAAAAAAAAAAGUAAAGAAAGAAAAUCAAACAUUCUGGUACAUGUGAGGACAGGCUGAUUGUGAGUGGCUCUCUCUGAGGCAGACCCAGAACCCUCCAGGCCCUAGGUGAUUGGGAGGCUUGUCUAAGGAGAGCUGCAGGAGGCUGAGGCAGGCCUGGGGUGGUGGUGGAGGAGCAGCAAGGGGGAGGCAGUGACCAUAAGGAUCAGACAGAGGAUAAGUCCAGGAGGGGCCAAAGGACACCUGCAUGACAGGGGGCAGGGCGACAUGGAGAGGACCCAGGAGCCGGGUCCUGCAGGUCAGUGAGGAGAGGAGAGAGGCCAGAGCUUGGCUGAAGUCACCCUCAGAGGCAGAAAGCUGCUGCAGUGACUAAGUUUGCCCAGGAGAGGGCUCCACCUUGGGAAAAUGGCUGAGUCGCCAUGACUCGGAGGAUCUCUGAGGUUCCCUAAAGAAAAGCCGUCCGAGGGCUGUGGGGGACCCCUGCCACAGCCUCCCUGGGCUGCAGAAAAACAGGGAAACUGAGGAGAAAAUUUCUCUCUAAAAGGAGCCAGACUUUAGGUGGGGGGAGGAAGAAAAGGAAACCUGAACAAGAACCACAUGAUUCUUGUCAAGAUUUUUAAGAAGAUGCAGAGUAAGACCUAGAAGGAGUCAAGGCACAGAAAGUAACUUGCUCAAGAUCACACAGCUGGCUUCUUCCUCCUCCCCACCCUUCGAGACACAAGAGCAUCCCAACUGGAAAAUGCCUUUUUCGUCAGCCGCUCUUUCCUUCUCUACCUACCAAUGUUCCAUCUUUUCUUCAAGUCCCAUAAUAAAUGCCUCUUCUUAUAAAACAUUUCCUGAUCUCCUCCCUAAGCAUGAUGACCACUUUGAUGACCACUUUCCUUUG